UUUUUUUUUUUUUUUGAGUCAGAGGCUCACUCUGCUGCCCAGGCUGGAGUGCAAUGGCGCAAUCUUGGCUCAUUGCAACCUCCGCCUCCUGAGUUCAAGCAAUUCUCCUGCCUCAGCCUCCCAAGUAGCUGGGACUACAAGUGUGCACCACUACGCUCAGCUAAUUUUUGUAUUUUUAAUAGAGACGGGGUUUCACCCUGUUGGUCGGCCAGGAUGGUCUUGAUCUUUUGACCUCGUGAUCUGCCCGCCUCAGCCUCCCAAAGUGCUGGGAUUACAGGCAUGAGCCACCGCGCCUGGCCAACGUCUUUCCUUUCUUCAGCCUGCAAAUCCCACCUCCUCUGGGAAGCCCCCCUGAUAACCCCCUUUGCUGGGUUCCCUUGUCUCUGAUACUCCCUGCAGUGAGAUCUGUCCUGACCUUGGUCUUGUCGCAGGCUGGGCACCCACCUGGAGUCCCAUUUGGACUUUUGUGGGCCUAGGCACAUUUGCCCUUUCCUUAGAAAAGAAAAUUAAAAAUUACAUGUUACGAUAGCAUUGGUAUCAACAUGAAUAUAUUAAUAGGACAUGCUGAAACAUUUUCUUUGAGUUAAAAGUUCAUUUUUCUUCUGAUUUUAAAAGAAAUUGAAAUCUUUUCUUGGGGUCCCAAAAGUAUGGUGCCUGGGCUGCAGAUUCACUGGGUCCCUCGUCUUGCCAGGCCUGGGCGAAUGCCGUGCCGGGCAGGCUGUGGAUGCUGCCCACCUUCUGCCCUCUCUGUGUCUGUCGUCUUCAUUUUGCUCCUGCAGUUUGUCCUUGUGUGAGUGCAUCAAAGCAAGACGAUGCGUGUGUGUGUAUGUAUGUGUGCGUGUGUGUGUGCGCGCGCACGCAUGCCACAUCCUCCCUCUUCAUCUCUGUGUCCAUCUGUCUAUGUUUUUUGUUUGUUUGUUUGGACACAUGGUCUUGCUCUAUCUGCCAGGCCAGAAUGCAGUGGUGCAAUCACAGCUUACUGCAGCCUUGACCUCCUGGGCUCAAGUGAUCCUCCCACCUCAGUCUCCUGAGUAGCUGGGACUGCAGGCGUGCACAACCAUUCCUGGCUAUUUUCUUUUUAAAUAGAAACAGGGUCUCACUAUGUUGCUCAGGCUGGUCUUGAACUCCCGGGCUCAAGAGAUCCACCCACCUCAGCCUCCUAAAGUGCUGGGAUCACAGGCAUGAGCCACUGUGCCUGGCUUGUGUUCGUCUCUUUCACCAUAACAGGUUUGUCUCUUUCUCCGGAGUCCUCUCAUUCAUUCAUUCAUUCAUUCAUUCAUUCAUUCAUUCCUGCAACAAACACCUGUCCCUGUGUGCGUCGGCAUGUCUGCCAGGGAGCAGGGGUCUUGGUUCCUCAUCUUUCCCCAGGUCUCCUGCCCUCCCAGAUCUGCAGGCUGUGAGCUUUCCAGGGUGGGCCAUGCUUCCUGCUCCCGACCCUUUGCCUGCCCGCCCCACCUUGCUCCAGCGUUGGGGUCACUGCCAUGGGUGGGGUUGUUUUCCCUCUCUCCCUUGGUUCUUCCCAGAACACCAUGCAGCAGCUGCUCCUGCCCAGCACGGUGUGCGUGUGUGUGUGUGUGUGUGUAUGGGAUGGAGUGAGAGAGAGGGCCAGGCCAACAUAUAGACAGACAGACACCAAGAGAGGAUGACAAGUGCACAGCCGGCACCUAUCUCUCCUGUAUUGGCCUUCCGUCUCCUUCCCUCUCCUCUCUGGGGUUUUGCUGGCAUUUUGUCUUUUCUCUGGGCUGCCUGCAUUUGUGUGUGUGUGUCUGUGUAUGAGUGAGUGUGUGUGUACGCAUGUGCAC
rnacentral:lncRNA from 1 species